rnacentral:rRNA from 1 species
UAUUGCACAAUGGGGGAAACCCUGAUGCAGCGACGCCGCGUGAAGGAAGAAGUAUCUCGGUAUGUAAACUUCUAUCAGCAGGGAAGAUAGUGACGGUACCUGACUAAGAAGCCCCGGCUAACUACGUGCC